CCCUUUGCCUCUGCUGCCCAUUUCUCCCUGCUCUUCACGAAUCACAUACACACUUAGACAGGCAGGCGUCCUGGGUCAUCAAAGACAGUGGGCAAGUUUAUUUGAUGUAGGAUCUUAAUCUUAGGGCCAGGAAGCAGAUCUCACAUUAAGGUGAUAACGGUCGCUGUCCUUCUGGCCAUCCUCCUUAUCAUAUGUGUAUUGCUUGUUUAUUACCUCCUGGGUUGCCAGAUACUCUUCUUUGUAGUUCUCAACUUAUUUACCCCAGAAAUAUUUGUGCUUAAUUAGUUUUAGUGGUUUAACUUUCUCCCCACAUGGGUUUUCUGGGAUAAUUGAUUUAUUGCUCAGAUAAGCGUCCGGCACGCUUCCCCCAUCACAGGCCUCUGCAUUCCAAGAGUCCGACUCAUCUGAGCAUAGCAGAGUUCGUCAGCGGUAAGAGGAAACCAAAACACUCCAGUGCAUUCUUCAGCGUGCUUAAAUAAAGUCCACACAGGAUCUUAGCAGCUAAAAGCAGCUUUAUUUACAGCAGGCUAUCCAUUAUCUAUCACAGCGAACAGCAUCGCGAAAACACGUCCUCUCUCCUCAAAAGCGAAAGUAGAGAGACAGAACAAAGACUUUAGUCUCUCAGAACUGACGUACCUCCCCCCUCCCAACUGUAGGCAGGGCAUACAUUCUGAGCUGUUUAACCCUGUAAGCUCAGGUUCUCCUCACAGGUUUGUGGAAAUGCUCAGAAGAAAUCUGAUUGGUUCUUACGAACACUCUGUAAAAAGUUCUUUUGUGAAUAAAAAACGGCCUGGGCCAGGGGGCUGCAGACACGGACAAGCACAGAGAGACACGAUUAUAUGCACCCUUCCCAGAGUCUUGCUGGUUCA